rnacentral:siRNA from 1 species
GGAAAAUUGCCUCCGAACCAAAGA